rnacentral:rRNA from 1 species
AGCGAACGCUAGCGGCGGGCCUAACACAUGCAAGUCGAGCGGGGGAGCAAUCCCCAGCGGCGGACGGGUGAGUAACACGUAGGUUAUGUGCCCUUUGGUGGGGAAUAACCGUGGGAAACCAUGGCUAAUUCCGCAUAUCGAGCGAAAUCUUGAAAGCCUUCGGGCGCCAAAGGAGCAACCUGCGGCCCAUUAGCUUGUUGGUAGGGUAACGGCCUACCAAGGCGAUGAUGGGUAGCUGGUCUGAGAGGAUGAUCAGCCACACUGGAACUGAGACACGGUCCAGACUCCUACGGGAGGCAGCAGUGGGGAAUAUUGCGCAAUGGGCGAAA